rnacentral:rRNA from 1 species
AACGUAGGAGGCGAGCGUUAUCCGGAUUUACUGGGUGUAAAGCGCGUGCAGGCGGUGGGCUAAGUUGGGUGUGAAAGCUCCUGGCUCAACUGGGAGAGGUCGCUCAAGACUGGCCGACUGGAGAGCAGUAAGGGAAGGUGGAAUUCCGGGUGUAGUGGUGAAAUGCGUAGAUAUCCGGAGGAACACCAGUGGCGAAGGCGGCCUUCUGGACUGCUUCUGACGCUCAGACGCGAAAGCUAGGGGAGCAAACGGG